GGAUGUGAGGGCGAUCUGACUGUGACAUCUGUCACCCCGUUGUUCACCAGGGUUGAUUUGGCUGAUCUGACUGGCUAGGCGGGUAUCCCCUUCCUCCCUCACCACUCCAUGUGUGUCUGUCGCAAACCUGCGUGCUCAGUCAAAGAGGAUGACCAUCCCCAAUAGAGGAGGACUGGUCUUCAGCCAAGAGUAUACGAGUAGCUGCACUCCCCUGCUAGAAACUCCAAACAAGCUCUCAAAAAAAAAAAAAAGGCAUGACAUGGUAUCACUGUUUGUUCAUGUGCUCUUCCAGUUUAGGCUGAAUCUCAU
rnacentral:snRNA from 10 species